rnacentral:rRNA from 1 species
GGUCAGGACGAACGCUGGCGGCGUGCCUAACACAUGCAAGUCGAGCGAGGAGAUUCCUUCGGGAUGAUCCUAGCGGCGGACGGGUGAGUAACACGUGGGCAACCUGCCUCAUAGAGAGGAAUAGCCUUCCGAAAGGGAGAUUAAUACCUCAUAACAUUGCAGUUUCGCAUGGAACAGCAAUUAAAGGAGCAAUCCGCUAUGAGAUGGGCCCGCGGCGCAUUAGCUAGUUGGUGAGGUAACGGCUCACCAAGGCGACGAUGCGUAGCCGACCUGAGAGGGUGAUCGGCCACAUUGGGACUGAGACACGGCCCAGACUCCUACGGGAGGCAGCAGUGGGGAAUAUUGCACAAUGGGGGAAACCCUGAUGCAGCCAACGCCGCGUGAGUGAUGACGGCCUUCGGGUUGUAAAGCUCUGUCUUCAGGGACGAUAAUGACGGUACCUGAGGAGGAAGCCACGGCUAACUACGUGCCAGCAGCAGC